rnacentral:tmRNA from 1 species
GGGGCUGCUAAGGUUUCUCCCGUUCGCCGGUCACGGUCGGACGGGUUUGGGGCUGUAGCGCAGUUGGUAGCGCGUCUCGUUCGCAUCGAGAAGGUCAGGGGUUCGAUUCCCCUCAGCUCCACCA